UACGUAGGGGGCAAGCGUUGUCCGGAAUCAUUGGGCGUAAAGAGCUCGUAGGCGGCUUGUCGCGUCGGAUGUGAAAGCCCGGGGCUUAACUCCGGGUCUGCAUUCGAUACGGGCAGGCUAGAGUUCGGUAGGGGAGAUCGGAAUUCCUGGUGUAGCGGUGAAAUGCGCAGAUAUCAGGAGGAACACCGGCGGCGAAGGCGGAUCUCUGGGCCGAUACUGACGCUGAGGAGCGAAAGCGUGGGGAGCAAACAGG
rnacentral:rRNA from 1 species